UUAAAUUGAAGAGUUUGAUCAUGGCUCAGAUUGAACGCUGGCGGCAGGCCUAACACAUGCAAGUCGAACGGUAACAGGAAGCAGCUUGCUGCUUUGCUGACGAGUGGCGGACGGGUGAGUAAUGUCUGGGAAACUGCCUGAUGGAGGGGGAUAACUACUGGAAACGGUAGCUAAUACCGCAUAACGUCGCAAGACCAAAGAGGGGGACCUUCGGGCCUCUUGCCAUCGGAUGUGCCCAGAUGGGAUUAGCUAGUAGGUGGGGUAAAGGCUCACCUAGGCGACGAUCCCUAGCUGG
rnacentral:rRNA from 1 species